rnacentral:rRNA from 1 species
UACGUAGGGUGCGAGCGUUGUCCGGAAUUAUUGGGCGUAAAGAGCUCGUAGGCGGCUUGGCAAGUCGGGUGUGAAACCUCCAGGCUCAACCUGGAGACGCCACCCGAUACUGCUGUGACUAGAGUCCGGUAGGGGAGCGUGGAAUUCCUGGUGUAGCGGUGAAAUGCGCAGAUAUCAGGAGGAACACCAGCGGCGAAGGCGGCAUCCUGGACCGGUAUUGACGCUGGAGGUGCGAAAAGCGUGGGGAGCAAACAGG